rnacentral:rRNA from 1 species
GACAGAGGGUGCAAACGUUGUUCGGAAUUACUGGGCGUAAAGCGAGUGUAGGCGGUUUGGAAAGUCGGAUGUGAAAGCCCCGGGUUCAACCCGGGAAGUGCACUCGAUACUCCCAAGCUAGAGUAUCGGAGAGGUUGGCGGAAUUCUCGGUGUAGAGGUGAAAUUCGUAGAUAUCGAGAGGAACACCGGCGGCGAAGGCGGCCAACUGGACGAAUACUGACGCUGAGACUCGAAAGCGUGGGGAGCAAACAGG